AUUCCCUUUCGCGCUGCGAUCGCUGAUAAUCCGUGUCCGGUUUGCACACCGGAAUCCAGGAGAGUUCAUGUA
rnacentral:sRNA from 1 species